UACAGAGGUCUCAAGCGUUGUUCGGAUUCAUUGGGCGUAAAGGGUGCGUAGGUGGCGCCGUAAGUCAGGUGUGAAAUUUCGGAGCUUAACUCCGAAACUGCAUUUGAUACUGCGGUGCUUGAGGACUGGAGAGGAGACUGGAAUUCACGGUGUAGCAGUGAAAUGCGUAGAUAUCGUGAGGAAGACCAGUGGCGGAAGGCGGGUCUCUGGACAGUUCCUGACACUGGAGGCAACGGAAGGCCAGGGGAGCAAACGGG
rnacentral:rRNA from 1 species